rnacentral:miRNA from 1 species
GAGUGGCCAUCUCUGUCGGCACCGCGGCGCUGUAAACAUCCUUGACUGGAAGCUGGACUUUUGACAGCGAGGGCUUUCAGUCGGAUGUUUGCAGCUUCUUACUGCCACAAACGGCCAG